UAAUGGAAUUUCAUUGAAUAGGAGAGCCAU
rnacentral:piRNA from 1 species